rnacentral:rRNA from 1 species
CCUACGGGAGGCAGCAGUGAGGAAUAUUGGUCAAUGGCCGGAAGGCUGAACCAGCCAUGCCGCGUGAAGGUCAGUGCCCUAUGGGCGUUAAACUUCUUUUGUGCGGGAGCAAUAAUGGUCACGUGUGGCCAGACGAGAGUACCGUACGAAUAAGCAUCGGCUAACUCCGUGCCAGCAGCCGCGGUAAUACGGGGGAUGCAAGCGUUAUCCGGAUUUAUUGGGUUUAAAGGGUGCGUAGGCUGGGAGGUAAGUCAGCGGUGAAAUGCCCCCGGUCAACGGGGUGAAGUGCCAUUGAUACUGCCUGGCUGGAAUGCGGAUGCGGUGGGAGGAAUGUGUGGUGUAGCGGUGAAAUGCAUAGAUAUCACACAGAACACCGAUUGCGAAGGCAUCUCACGAAUCCGCGAUUGACGCUGAUGCACGAAAGCGUGGGUAUCAAACAGGAUUAGAUACCCCAGUAGUC